GGGGCCUAGGUGAUAUUUUUGUUGUGAGGGGAAACGGUAGUUUGGAGAGAGAAAAAAAUACUGGAGGAAAAAAAGGUCAAACGAAAGACGGAGGCGGAUCGCGGAACAGAUGGACAGGAUCAGACAACUGGCAGCGUAAAAUAAAGUUACAGCAUUUAGAAUUUAUUUAAGUUGUCAGUGCUCGCUGGUGAAACUGGUGGAAGGAAGGGAGCGAGCGGCUGACGAAUGCCGACCCCGGCGGCAGUUGUACGACAGGCCGCCACUUCAGCAGGGGCCUUCGCUAGAGACCGAGUCAAUGUUUCAGUGACCUCCGCGGUGGCGGAGUUCGCUGUAGCUAAACCCCUGUCUGUUGGGGAGAAAGAACUGCUAAAUUUCUGUCUAGUAUCCGCUGAGGUUCAUCCCGAAUUUGUGUUUAAUUCCAUCUUUUUCUUUUGCUUGAAUAAACAACGGUAAUCACGAAAGUACCUUAAUUCUUGGCAUCCUGUUUGUCCUGACUUGAAUCCAUGGUGUAAUGAUCAUCUGACCUAGAAGCCUGUUGGUUCAAUCUACACUCCAUUGAUUUAAAUGUACUGUGGAGAGCAUUCUAACUGAUCGCAUCACCGUCUGGUAUGGAGGGGCUACUGCACAGAGUUGGAAAAAGCUGCAGAAAGGCAAAAACUCAGCCAGCUUCACAAUGGACAUUUGCCUUGCCAGCGUUCAGGGUACCUUCAAAAGAUGACAUCCAUCAUAAGGAUGUCAUCACCCAGGACAUGUCCUCUUUGCUACCAUCAAGGAGAAGGUAUUGCAAAAGAUCUUGAGCCAUUUCUGAAGAAGAUCUUGAAGUUUCUGUGGUGUCCUUGCUAAUUUUUUCUCCAGUCUACAUCAAUUAAGAUAAGUUUACAGAUGAUUUAUUUGUUAUGCUUCUCAAAUUGGCUGUUGCAAUCUAGCAAUCAAUUAUUUAUCUUCAAAUAUAAUGAUAAAAUGAAGGGCAAUAUGCCACUGUGUUCCUUACCUAACUAUUGUUUUUGAAAUUUGCUUUCUCUAUUUUGCUGUCAACUAAAUCUUGGGUCAUCAUUCCAGUUUUUAAAAAAAUCCACUUGUAUGAUGAUCCAGAUUUCUUGCCUUGACUUAAUUGAGUACUUUUCAUUCAAUAGUUAAAAGUAUCUGCAGUUUGUUUUAUGCUUCUUUUCUUGCAGUGGUUCCCGUCCUGGGGUCCACGGACCCCUCGGUUACUGGUAAGGCUCUGUGGCAUAAAAAGGUUGCGAACCCUUGUUCUAGUCUGUUAUGCUUGACUUGUUUCUGGUCAAGAAUGAGCUAUUUGUGUAUUUCUAUUGCUGAUUAUAUUGCAUAAUUAUCAGUACUUGGAAAUGUUCUUGAAAUUUAAUGCCUGUGAUUAUGUGUGCAAACUUUUUUGUCUUUUCUAUGCACUUUACAUACUAAUGUUGUAAAAUCUUUUUUUGUUUUUAAACCACUGUUGCUGUUUUGACUAUGUAGCCUGCAUGCUUUUUUUUUGAUAUGUGGAAAACUAGCCUUGAAAUCUGAAGAGCAGUUCAAUUAACACUUCUCCAGAAAUUCCAAAGCUAACUAGGGAACAGGAUUUAUUCCCAAAGAAGUAAACAUUGAAGAAAAUGUAAGAUUCAAAAAUAAAUAAAAACUAAUAAUCAUUAGACCAAUUGAUCGCCAAGUAUUUCAUUUUAAUUGAACUUCCACUGGCUUGUUACCUACAUUAUUGCACCUAACCAUACAAUCUUCAUCAGCUGCAUUAGCUGAUCUCUCAUGGCCUAUUCAUCCCCGUCUGCAUGAAAGCCAGGAUUUUGGAUACAAGAGACUUCUUCGUGGCAUGAUUUCCAUUACACCGUACCAGUGCAGAGAUUAUGGAAAAGAUGGAUUCAGUCCACUAUGUGACUUGCCUCUUAGGCAAUGUAUCUUAUGGCUUAUGAGAGCUGUAAUGGAAAACUAACAACUGAGCUGGGUUAAAAGCUCAAUUAUAGUAAGAAUAGAGCAGUUGAUUGAUUGGAGUUGCUGCCAGAGUCUCUCCCAUAUCAGCAUACCAUCUUGAUUUGAACACAGUGCUGUAUCUUUAUUUCAGGCAAAUUCUUGCCGAACUCAUUAUAGAAUAUGAUUGCCUCAAGAAGUCCAGGGAAUUCAAGAGUGCCAUCAGCAGUAAAUCAUGUCAAGGUUGCUGUUAAAUUGAGAAAUAUUACGUUGACUUCUGUAUCUUUCAAGGCAGCGGAGGGAAAAAUUAACAAUAAAACAAUUCUAAUUAUUCAAUUUCUUUUAUCAGAUGCAGAGUAUAGUCAUCUAGUACAAACUGGACUGAGUUUGAUUAUAAUGUCCCCGCAUGUUCAAAUGUAGUUUAAAACGACCAUUUGAUUUCUCAUUCAAAUACCAUCAACUCAAGUGUGCCAUGUGUUUAAAAGUAUGCUAUCUUUAAAUAUAAUUCCAAUAAAUUUUAGAUGAGAGCUUUUCAAUUCUUUGAAUUUUGCUACCUUUGGACUUUUGAUUGCAGCUUUAACAGAGUUGCUAAAGGACAUGCAUUAAAGCUAUCUUUAAUUUGGAGAUUGAAGACCCCUUACCGAAAUGCACAGGGCCAGAAGCUUCAGAUUUUUUUGGACUUUGGAAUAUAUAAUGAAAUAGUUUGGAAUUGCCAUCAUUUCUGACUGAAUUCAUAUGCUACCGGGAAACACUCUCUGUCUUUAUCUCAUUCAUCACACUUACUGAUGCAAUCAUUUAGUGUGUUAGAUUUUAAUCAACAAUGAUCUUGGCUAACUCAUCAAUGAGUUUCUCUGCUGCUUUGCGAUCUGCACUUUAUUGCCCCAGAUGUUUGAAACUUCAAUGCCAUGCCUUUACUUAAGUUUCUGCAACCAUGCUUCUGAAUAUUCACACUUGCCUUCAGUUUUCUGUUUGUGGUGAUAGAACUUUGCUUGCUUCAUGAUCAGCAGUCCGUUAAGCGGCAUAUGUUCACUGUGACGCUGACAAGUACGCGAUCGGGAUCUUUAUUUUUUGCUUCAUGCAGUGUAUUCUACUUUUCAUUAACUUUUGUUCAUUACAUAUGUAAGAUCAAUUUUCACCUGUCUGUGGUGUACAGAGACAUCUGCAUCAGCUGGGGACCUUCCCUGCACCUGCUAGAAAUUUCCAUUUGUGACUAAAAAAGAAUUAAUCUGGAUUUCAGAUUUUGUAAUUUUGGAUAAGGGAACUUGACCUGUCUCAUCCUUUAGCUUGAAUUAUUUUCUCUUGAUGGCUUCAAUUGAAACCUCUUUAGCCUUGCAUCUUCUAAUAGAUAAAAUCCCUGUUACUUGUUUUUCUCUUCCUAAGGUUAGGUUCCUAUCUUUAUCUAUAUCUAUCUUCUAAUAAAGGAGAUCACAAAGACUGAAUAUUUUACUAAAUUGGGCCAUUUGGUUCAUUUUCUCUAACAUUUUUUGGAGUUGUGCCUUUCAUUCCCAUCGAUGUGUCUUUUUUUUUAAUAAACUAAUUUAUGUGCUUCCCUAUCAAUGCCAUUAGGUAUAGGCUUCAACUGAUUCUUAGUAAGAAUACCUUAACACUCUUACCUAGUGUUUCAUUUGUUCUUUCCCCUCAAACAUUAUUCAAACCCCUUAGAGUAAGAUUUAUUGAUUUAUAAAAUGUUUAUUUUUUGACUUUUGCAUCUCUACUGAGGCUUGAGUAGUCUUGGUUCUGGAAUUGAGGCUCUAUGUUGAACAGUUUCCCAUCAGUUCUGAAGAUUAGCUUCAUUUGCACAGGAAAUGUGUUCGAGGUGAGAAACAGUUUUGUUAAGAAAGAUUGAGCAAUGUGAUGGGGCAAUUAUGUAGUUUUGCUUGGCACAUUGUACAUUAGGAAUUGUCCUGUUAUAGAUCAAUCAGUAAAUAUCAGGCUGAUAAUGGCUGCUGCACUCUGCAUUUUUAUUGCAGUUGUUGCUGGGUGAAGAUCAUGCCUACUGCAUUUUUGGAGGGAUGGAAUCUUUGUUUGAAGAGGAGCUCUUCAGCUACAGCCAUGUCUUCAAAGCGUAAAUCCGAUGCAAGUGCUGGUGACGCAUCAAAGAAAAGGAAAACGAUCACGAUUGAAAAUAAAGUGGAAAUAAUAAAGCGAUCGGAAAGAGUUUGCGCAUGCUUCUCAGGGAUUUACAGCUGAUGACAUCGCCGAAACCAGGCAAGCUAUGAUUGAUACUGCUAAUGAACUGCAAUUAGACAUCAGUGAAAAUGAUGUUGCAGAGUUGCUCAACUCCCGUGCCAAAGAACUGACCAAUGAAGACCUUAUGGAUUUAGAGCAGCAGAUGAUAGCAUCUGAGGAAAAAGAAGACUGACCUAGGAACUUCGGAACCAAAAUUAGCUGAAGCCUUUUGUCUCAUUGAAGCAGGGAUGGCAAAGUUAGAGGAGUAAGGUCCUAAUAAAGAGAGGUUCACCAAAGUUUACCGUGCAGUUACUGAGAACCUCCGCUGCUACAGUGCCAUUUAUGACGGAAAAAAGAAAAGCUCUGUACAAGCCUCCCUUGAUGCCGACUUCAAGAAAUUGACUCCUGUGGUAAACCUGCCCUCUCCAGCAGCAGAAUCAAAACCUGACUCUCCAGCACCAGGUCCAUCAUAAUGUUACCUCACGAAUGCCCCUUCUGGUAUGCAAGACGUCGAUGCAACAAUGCUGUCUGACAUGCUGUAUUUUUCCUGUUUUUAUUCUUUAUACUCACUGGAAGUUAGAAGAAUGGGAGAUCUUUGUGCUUUGGUGCCUUGGUGCUGAUGUUACUCGACAAUGAGGGGGAAAUAUGUUCUUAUUUAGUCUUAUGCAUAAAACAGACACACUUGACCCAGCUAUUCUCAAUCUUCAAAUAAAAGGUUAUCAAUUAUUUCAUGAAAAAUGGCAAAUCACCAAUAUUUGCUUUUGAGCUUUAAAUACAAACUUGAAACAAAAUUGAAUACAAUCUGAAUGGAAGAAUACUGGUAGGAUUUGCUAACCUUGAUGUCAAGGUAGCAUCUGACCAAAUGUUGAACCAAGGAAGCAAAAUUAAUUGCUGAAUAUUUCCAGUUUAACAAGGUAUUCUUAUAUUGUUCUGCUUUACAUAAUUGUAAUGUUCUUGGGUCUUCUGUAAUACAGUUGUGGUCUGUUGCUGUAAACAUCCCCGACUGGAAGCUGUAAAAGAUUUCUCUAGCUUUCAGUCAGAUGUUUACGACCACCGGCUGCAGAUUCUUUAAGUGACAAGAGUUGCUCGGCAUUCUCAAUUGACCUUCAAGUGGAAUGAUUUCUUUUGGAAACUUAAUUGGUUUGAUUCUCUCUGUGAUAACUUUCUUGGAAUUACUUAGAAGAUGUAUUCUCUGUACAAGUUUUAAAAAUAAAAUUCUGAUUUAUGGAAGCAUUGUGGGCCAGUAGGUGAACUCCACUAGAUGUUGCAAUUUGCCAUCAUUAUGAAGGGAUAAAAUGGACAACCUUCUUACUGCAAGGGAUCAACUGCUAUGAUGGCACUCAAGGUGUGUAAGAUGCAUUAUUUCAAAUUCAGACAGUGGGAUUUUGAGUAUUGAUCACUGCAAUUGCUCCCAACUGUUGCAGUUUCUACCUCUGAUUUAUUUGAUGUGAUAUUACACCAAAAAUCAGGAGUUAUGAGAACAAGCAUCCAUACUGUUGUGAUUUGAUAAUAUUAUGCAUUUGCAGUGCUUUGGUACAUGAAUGUCAUCUUUUCCUUUUUGGUCAGCAAUUUAAAAGCAUUUAACGCUGGGCUAAAGAUUUAGAACAGAGUCAUAGAGCUGUACAGCAUAGAAACAGGCCACUCGUCACUCCACAUGUAUGUUCACCAUCAUGCCUAUCUAUACUAAUCUCGCUUGCAUUAGUUCCUUCUGUGUCCUGCUUAUUCAAGUACUUUAAAUGUUGGUAUUGUUUAUUUCAUCACCUCCAACAGCUCAUUCCAGAUACUAACUACAUUGUGUGGAGAAACUUACUACUCAGGUCCCCUUUAAACAUCUUUGCUCUCGCCUUAAACCUGAGGUUUUUUUUAGACAUCCCUACAAUGGGAAAUAAACUGGCUAUAUACCCUAUCUCUAUCUUUCAUAGUUUUAUAUACCUCUAUCUCGUCACCUCUCAACUAGCUUUGCACCAGGAUUGGGGAGAAAAAGGUCCUGGCCUAUCCAAACUCUACUUAACAUCUGAAUGGUAUCCUUUCUUUAGUGUGGUGACCGGAAAUGCUCAUGUUAUUCCAAGUGCAGCCAGUUUUAAGCAUCAAAACAUUGUUCACUUUCUCUCAAGGUUAUAAUAUUGUAAUUUUAUUUAAUAGUGGAUGCAAAUUGCAUGUGAAUAAUUGUUUAAUUUGAAUGUACUUGAAUUUCUUUUUCGUGGAAGCCUGUAAAAUCAAACUUCCUUCGCAGUUUCUGAAAGUAUUUUGACUGAUUUUGCAGCUGCAGUAUUAAAUUGGAGAUGUUCAGCAACUUUAACAGAAAACAGUUACUCUAGAAAUACCUGGAACAUUGUAAGAUGUUCCUUUAUGUCAUAAGGUUUAUAGUAAUUUUAGAAAAUAAAUGCUGUUUUAAAAACAAAAUCACUAAAUUUGAGGAGGUGCUUGGUGCAAAGAUAAAUGUAAUUCAGUGUGUUUGUUCUGGAUUAUUUGAUCGAUAUAUGUAGUGUGUGUAUAUAUGUAUCUGUAUAAUGUAUUUUGGGGAAUGGUGGGAAUGUGGAGUCAAGGUUACAAUCAGAUCACUCUUUAUCUUAAUUGAAUAGCAGAGUGAAUUAAAGUGGGUAAGUUGCCAGUUUCUUUUCUCAGUUUAUACAUUGACUAUCCAGUGGAUAUAUUCUUCCAUCAGCAAGCAGGUGAAAAGUUAUGGAGGAAGCUGGGAAUGUGUUGAGAUUAUGAUCAGAUCAGUCUUCAUUUUAAAUUGAAUUACAGAAAGAACUGAGGAGGGUAAGUUGUUUGUUUCUUGUCUCAGUCUAUACAUCCAUAGAGUGUUCUGAGUGUGGUGCAGUAUCCCACCCUGUGGUGUUAAGUCUCCUGGAAACUCUUGAUGCGCCUGGAUUUUUCUCCUUGCCACCUCAAUCCUGAUUCCUCAAUACCUAUUAGCAAGCUACUUGUUGGUGGAGAAACUGAAGGAGCUGGCCCUAGUACUUGCUAUCAUAGAUGUGCCUUGUGCUGUGCAUGACUGUUGGUACUGUGUUUUGCACCUUGGCCCCAGAAUAACGCUGUUGAGUUUAGCUGUAUGCUUAGGUAUUCAUGUAUGGCGGAAUGACAAACUUGAACUCUGCUCCAGUCCUUUGUGUUCCCACAUUCAUAUUGGCUGCUGGCAACAGCCAUAUCCUGUAAGCAAAUAUAGGACUCAGUACGUACUUUUUGUGACUGUGUGGGUUUCUUCCAGGUGUUCUGUUUUCCUCUCACAAUUCAAGGAUGCACUAGUUAGUAGGUUAAUUGGUCACUAUAAAUUGUCUUGUGAUUAGGCUAGCAUAAAAUAGAUAGGUUGCUUUUGGUGUGGCUUGUUGGGCCAGAGGAACCUGAUUCACACUGUAUCUCUAAAUAAAAUAAAUAAAUUGAAAUGAGCAAUUGUAUAAAUGAGAUUCUUAUUCAUCUAAGCUCUAGAAGUUCCAAAUCCACUAACAAACAGAUCUGGUUCAACUGAUCCAUGUCAUUUGUACCUUCAAUAUGUUUAACUUCAGUAAUGUCUUUCAAUGGAGCAGAAAGAGAUAUUGUCAUAGAAUGACCCUGUUAGUCAGGGUCUGUAGAACACUUGGGAGACCACCGUUAAAACAAGAUACUUUUCCACUCAAAUUUUCAGGGUGGAAGAAUUCAGGAAGCCUGUGCUGGGCUCGGCUGAGGGUUUGGCAGCUGGAAAGUAAGGAAAGUUAGUGAUAGUGGAGAAAACUAUAUAUCAGAGUGAAGCGAAAAUGCCGGCUGGUGGCGCAAUGGCAUCAGCGCCGGACUCCGGAGCGAAGGCUCCCAAGUUCGAAUCCAAAUCAGGCCACCCUUGAGCACACUUUCCAUCCGUACCUGGUUGAGCGUAGAGCUAGCCACUCGGCCUCAAAAAAAAAACAAGGGUCAAGUCAGGAAAGUUCAUAUCGUGAUCCAGUUAAUCCGAAAGGAGAUCAAUCCUGAUACCAUGCGCCAGUCAAGAUUGUCUAGUCCGACGCGCUUUAAAAAAAGUGAAAAGAAGAGAGAGCUGAGUAAUUUAUCCAGAGAAGAAAGGAAAUGACCAAGCAGUUGGGUGAAGGAGAAACAUGGCCAGAUAGAGGUUCUGAUGAAAUGUAGAAGGUGUUAGGAAGUGUUUUAGGGAUGGUGUGGAGUACUGAAGAAGAGGUGUGGGAAUAGGAGAGAUGUAAGGUGUGGGAAAUCCAUGGGAAGAUUGAAUGCAGGUAAGGGGAGUACAGGACAUUGUGUCAAGGCCACCUGUUUAGUGUUUGCUAAUGUGUGUAAAUGGGCACUGGGAUAUGUAUCCAUUUUUAUAUAGUUUUAUUCAUACAGAAAAAUUUGGUCUCCUCUUAUCAUGGAUCUUGUUGCCCUUGAAUCAUGACCUAAUUUUGCCAAAUCUGUGGGGUAGCUAGUUAUCAAAAAAAGUCAUUUUCAAGCAUUUUUGGACUCCUCACUAGAUGUUUGGAACCUAGUAAAAGAACCACAGGGACAGCCACAGUAGAGUCUCAGAAUCAGGUUUAUUGUCGCUGGCAGGUGUCAUGAAAUUUGUUAACUUGGCAGCAGCAGUUCAAUGCAAUACAUAAUAUACAAGAAAAGGAAAAAAAUGAAAUAACAGUAAAUUACAGUAUAUGUAUAUUGAAUAGAUUAAAAAUCAUGCAAAAAAAAGAAAUACAUAUUUGAAAAAGUGAGGCAAUGUUCACGGGUUCAAUGUCCAUUUAGGAAUCGGAUGACAGAGGGGAAGAAGCUGUUCCUGAAUCGUUGAUCUGCACAGCGCACUGCUAUAGCUCAGCAACAUGGACAUUCUGAUAUUGGUAUUGCCUUUAGCACAAUAGGACAAUAAACUGAAAGAACAAGGUGCUGAAUACCUUGUCUUCUGGAAGAGAAAACGAUUAGAAGUGCAGUCUGCUUGGUGUGAACUUUGUUUACCCCACAGAAGAGGAGUUAUUGAGACACCACGCCAUCUUAAUGGCAAACAUCUUAACUUCUGUUCACACUCCUAGCAUGCUGCAGUCAUACAUCAAGCUCUGCAAAUCAAGAUGGUAUGGAUAUGGCCACGGAAGAUAAUACUCUGACUUGGGAGGAAAGUUGGUUGACAUCAUUGAAGACAAGUUUAUCCUCUUGUGAAACUUUACAGCUAGGGUUGGAAGCAGUGGAAUCCUCUGAAAAGUAUAGUAGAGAGAGGAACCUAAUUCGAAUAGAGUCCUCCUGACAAAGCACUUGAGAGUAUGGUUUUGUCAUAAGCAACACCUAUUUUGCCAAAAGGAUGAACACAAGUCUUCGACACUUGUAUCUAGUCACCUUUUAGAUUAUGUUGUUGAGUGUGUGACCUCAAGACUGAAGUCCAACAGAAAACCUGGGACUUAAAGAACAGAUGGUGUGUGAAAAGACUGCAAGAGCUGUAGAAACUUGUUGGUAAUCUUGACAUAUGAAUAUUUCUGUGAUGUUAAUAGGGGAUCUCCUCAAAGUAAUCAAACCGCUGCUUUCUGAAUUACAUGAUGGAUGUGAGCUUUGCUGAGUGCCAACUCCAAUAGAAAUAAAGCUGCUCUAUCGGUUUUGAUUAUACAAAAGACUGAAUCCAGAAAUAAAGAAGAAUUAUGGAGCUUCAUUCAAAUUUAGCUGUUUGCAGAAAUUUGUCACAACUAAACAUCUGCAUAUAUGAUGAGAUACAAGCUAUCAGCUUAAGCUGUGGGUCCUUUACAGACUGGUAUCUAGGAACUUUUUUCCCACAACAAUGCUGCCCCUCAUUUCCCAUAAGUUCCCCGCUGGACCAUAUGAAAUUGUUCAACCUACACUCCAGAGCCAAUGUUACCCCAACAUGGAACUGGAAUUGAUUUAUUAUUGUCGCCUAUACUGAAAUGCAGUGGUAAGUUUGUUUUGCAUACUGUUCAUGCACAUCAAAUCAUUACACAAUCAAGGUAAAACAAUACAGAGAAAGUUCAGGUAAACAAGGUGCAGGAUCACAAUGAGGUAGAUUGAGGUCAAGAAUCUGUCUUGGCAUACUAGGGAACUAUUCAGUAGUUUUAUAACAGUGGCAUAGUAGCCUUCCUUGAGCCUGGUGGUAAGUGCUUUUGGGCUUUUAAAUCUUCUGCCUGAUGAGAGAAGGGAGAAAAGAGAAUGUCUAGGGUGAGUGGUGUAUUUGAUUAUGUUGGCUACUUUACUGAGGGAGCAUGAAGUGUAGGCAGAGUCCAUGGAAAGAAGUUUGGUUUGUGUGAUGCCUCUGCAGUUGUGGAUUUCAUUUAUCAAGCUGCAUUACACAGAUAAUACUUGCAUCUGAGCAUAGGCAGAAACUGAUUUCCACAUUAUCAUUGACUCAUUCAUUGUAUCAUGCAAGAGAAUGUUAAAGUUAGCAAAACAAGGAGCACAACAUCUUGCAAGCUGGCCAAUUCCCUGCUCCAUUAAGUAAAAACUUCCUUUCAUUUGGCAGAUUCUGCAGAUCCUAUAUUGGCCUCAUCAAUAUCACCUCUGAACCUAUAGAGCCAAUGUAGAGGAAAGUGAGCUUGAUUAUGAGGGAUUCAUUAUUUUCCAAUUGGUUUCUUUCUACAGAUUGGCAGAAUAUUGUACAAUCCUGGCCUCUGGUGCUGUCAGUGUGAAAACUUCAUUUUCUCUUUGACCAGAUGCUCUAAUUUCAUCUAAAAUGUGUGAAUUACUAGCUUAAUUGGCCACUGUAAAUUACUUCUAUUACAUAUGUGUUGUGGAAUCUAAGGAGUUGGAACUGUGGGAAGGAUAAAACAGGAUGGAGUAGAAUUAAAGUGAGUGGUUGGUGUGGAUUCAGUAGCCAAAGGCCCGUUUGUGCACUGUAUCUCUCUUAAGACUCUGAGGUUUUUUUUAAAGAGCAUUUUCCUAUUUCUGAAGAACGGUCAUCUACCUAAAACAUCAACAUCUUGUGGUCACAUAUUAUUUUCAUUUCCAACAUUUUCUCUUUAUUUAUAUGGCUCGAGUAAGUCUUUUAUUACAACAAUUUAGUUCCAAUCUUUUUUUAAGUUAUGUUCUUAUCAUUUCAGUAAUAAUGAGACCUAGACAGUGUACAACUGAGCUACAGCCGUUGUAAACAUCCUACACUCAGCUGUAACGAGGAAAAGGGGCUGAGGGAAGGUUGUUUACCUUGACUGGCUUGGAACAGCAACAUUUUAAAUGAAGAAUGUCUGAAGAGAAAAUAUCUGGAGGAGGUUUGUAAAGGUUGUCACAUCUUUAUAAUUUCCUAGUCUGCAACAAAUAUGAAGACACGAGAGAUUGCAGCUGUUGGAAUAUUGAGCAAAAACAAACUGCUGACCCCACUAAGCACUAUAUCCAGCAUUUCUGCCAGCUGUAAGAGGAUCCCAUCACCUGUCCCAUUUUCCCUUAUGCCACCAAAAUUUCUGCUCUGCAGGGACCACUCUCUUGUCAUCCCUCCUUCUCUGGCAUUUUUUCCUGUAGCCAUAAAGGUGCAACAAUUGUUCCUAUACACCUCUCUUACUUCCAGCCAUGGACUUGAACAUUCCUUCCAAAUAAGCCAGAGAUUCAGUACAUCUCCUCUGAUCUUGUUUAUUGCACUUGUAUCUUUUUCAUCAAUGUGACUAAGCUUUUAGUAGGUGAUCAGUUUGUGGAUCAUCUGCCCUGUCUGUAAUGAGUAUCUUGAGCUUCUGGUUGCAUGUCAUUUCAACCCCCAAUUACCCCCACCUACACCAAACUGUCUGCCCUCAAUCUCCAUUGCCACAGUGUGACCAAAUACAAGCUAAAAGAACAACACCUGGUAUUCCACUUGGAUAGCCAGCAACCAAGGGACGUUAAUAUUGAAUCUUCCAAUGUGGUUCACAAUCUCUGUUUCUUUCCCACUUUCAUUGGUUGCCUAUGUCCUCUUUUCCUCCACCUUUUCCAUUCCCCUCCCUCAUGUUUGAAAGAUUUGUUACCUUCCCCUUCUAUCUGGCUCUAUUUGCCCAGUUUAUUUCAGUAUCUAUUUCCACCAAUCACCCUCCUGUCUCAUUAUCCCCUACCUCAUCUGGGUCCACCCAUCGCCUAACAGCCUAAACAUCCCUUACUGGUACCUCUAUAUUCAGGCGGCCUUCCUACUAUGCUCUGUCUGGAUGCAGUGCCUUGACCCGAAACAUCAAUCAUACCUUUGCCUCAUUAGAUUCUGCUUGACAUUUUUAUUCGCAGCACUGGGUAUUGUAUUUGGAAAACAUCGCAUUGCUAAAUCAAACUUUUUUUUAACAGAAUUAAGAGCAAUAAUGCAGUGUGUUGCCACUGAGAAGAUCUUGUACAACACUUUUCCAUUCUUUCACCUUUCUAUUCAAACAAGAAUUAACAUUGGCUGUUCAAUUAUUUUGAGCUUGUAUUGUAUGUAGUAAUACAAUGUUUUUUUAAAACAAAAAUAGAACUUAUUCAAUAUCAUUGAGUUAACAGAAAUCUUCAUGCACGUAUUCCCACUUGCGUUCUGGAUAGGGAGUUGGAAGUUCCUGGAAAUAACAGGAAUAAAUGAUAUAUCAUGACCCUCAGAAUUUUUGACUUGGAUUUCUGUAUUGGGCCUUGAACUUGACUGCAGCAUUUAUGGUUUCUGAAAAUUCACGAAAAAAUUCAACAUUCUUAGAACUUGAUUUCUAAUGGCACUGAUCAGUUAACAUGGAUUAAACUUAUAGUGGUAUUAAAUAAAUUAAUUGCUCUGGAGAUGUCUAGAAUGUGCCCUGAGCAGGCAUUCCUAUGUACAUGACUGACAUAACUUGGGCUUCUUGUGGAAUAGGAAAAUCAAUCAAGCAAUAUAGUUUGCUUGAUAGACUCGGCAGUAAGUAUUGGAUUUCCUGAGAUUUGGUUGUUGGUUAAUAUUUCUAAUGAGCGGCAGUCACUUAUCACUGUCUGAUUGCAAUUUAUAUCACCUUGCUGACUGCAGAGUUUUACUCUUUUUAUUGGUCCCUGGUUUAAAAUUGGUGUAUGUUAAUAUAACUGAUUGCCACUGAAGAGUUGAAUUUCUUUUAGUUAGGUCUUGUCAUGUGGAAGAGAAUAUCCUUCUGCAGUUAAUUAUUCAGUGGGCAUUUUAUGCCUGGCAUUCAAGAAGGGCCUCUACCCUACCCAAUGUUUCUGCUCCUCAUUUGCCAUCAUGAGGUAAAACAGUGUAGGUCAGGAGAUGGAAACAACAAUCAGGGUUCAACUGGGUACAACUGUCAGGGUUCAAAUUCCACAAUUUUACUGUUACAUUUGAGUUUGGAUGUGGAACUCUUCUACAUAAUUGUACUUUGGUCUGAAUAGAUCUACAGGUAUGUUUUCCUUCCUCUCUCAAAAUCUUAGUUUGAAUUUUGUUUUGUGCAAAAUUUGUACUUAUAACUUUUUAUCUCAUUGUUAAUUCCUAGUUAUGGAGCAAAUUAUGUUGCUAUUGGUUAUUUAAUAAAUACAAAGGGAAGAGUCAAAAUUUUUGUUAACAUCCCAGCUUUUCUGAAAUGAAAGCUUGAACGUUUCACUUCAUUAAGGGUGCAGCGUAAUGCAGCUUGUUGUUAUGCAGUAUAUGCCAUCAGGUGAGUUCAGGUUUUUCAAGAUGUUCCAAUUAGAUGCUGUCUCACAACUUGAGUGAUCCAGGUCCAUUCUUGACCUUUCUGUAGUUUGCACCUUCUGAGAUUGGGUGGGAUUGUUCCAGUUCCCCUCCCUAUCCGAAAGAUCUGUGAGAUAUUAGUUAAUUGGUUACUAUAAAUUGCCCUCUCUGUGUAGAUGAGACAUAGAAUCUGGGAGAUUUAAUGGGAAUAUGGGGAGAUUAGAUUACAGGGAAAAAAUAUAUUAGAAUGGGAUUGCUCUCAGAGCCAGAAUGGUCUCCUGUGUAGUAGGGAAGUAGUGAAAUACAGUUUUUCAAACCUGAGAAAGCCUGCAGAUACUGGAAACUCAAAUCAACACACAUGAUGCUGGAGGGACAGCAGCUCAGGCAGCAUCUAUGGAAAAGAGUAAAUAGUUGACAUUUCAGGGUGAGAACCUUCAUCAGGAUUAAUGACUGUUCUGAUUAAGUGUCUCGGCCUGAAACAUCAACUGUUUACAUUCUUCUAUAGAUGCUGCCUGGCUUUUUGAGUUACUCCAGCAUUUUGUGUUUGCUGCAGUGAAAUGUGGUAUAUUUUCACUUUGAAACACAAUUCUUUUGAUAUGGGAUUCCAAAUAAAUCAUAAUGUGUACAUUCACAAACACAUCUAAGAUUUCACUUAACCAGAUGAAGCUAGUAGCAUGCUGUUCAGCUGAUUAUUUUAAGAUAUAAGAUUAACAUAAAAGCUGUAAGAUUCAUCCUUAUCAUGUUUGCUAUCUUAUGGAAAGUUUCAUUGUAUUAUUGAAAUUGUUCUUAACCACAGGAUUGUGGAUUAACAGCAAUUUUUAAAAUCCAGCUAGUUUGAGCUAAACACCUGGAAUGGUGCCAGCAUGCUUUUUUAUUUGCUAUGGAAACCUGAUUAAUGUGGGAUUAUUUAUUUUUUUUAAAAAGUUAAAUAGUACUUAGCAAUUUCAAUUUUAACUUGUGAUGUUUUUAACCCAAACAAAUAUUAAUUGUCCUGUUAAUCUGAAAUUGCAUGAGGUUAUCAUCUGAAUGAUCAUAACAAAUGCAUUUCUCCAUUACUCUUGUCUAUGCUGAGUGGUUGCCACAUGUAGAAGUAGUGGGUUUUUUUAUGCAUUAUGUCCAGACAAGCCUGAGUUCUUUUCCUUUGGAGUUUCUAUCAAGCAGUCUCCUCAGCCAGUCAAUUUUUCUGUUUACAGAGCUGCUGACUACAUCCUAUUUAAUGUUAAAAAGCAUUGUUUGUCAAAAAAAAAGCAGCAAAUCAACAUCUAUCCACUCAUAAGUUACUCAGUUGGCAUACAAGGGCCUUGUACAACACAGUGAUUAUUUGAUACAUGCAUCAGGCUGGAGCAAGAGGAUUCGUUCCAGUGUUGGAUUAAAGUACUGCUAUUCACACAAUUGCCCUAUCAAUUCCAGAGGCUGUAAAUGAACUACUAUUAGUGGUCAGGCUAGAAGUCCUCUGGCAUUGUGUUCUGAAUAUUUUCUUCGGUCCGGUCAGGUGAUGAAAUGACCCUCGGGCUUCCAGAAGAGGUGUAGAAGAAUGUAUAGAUUUGUAUUCUAAUCCUGGAAAAGAGUGUUAGAUGCUGCAAUAAAUAACAAUUUGUAUUAAAGCACCAACCUAUUAAAAUGUUUUAAUUUGUAAAGUUAUUAAAUACUUAAUUGUUGGUUUAGCUGCAGUACAGGCUUGUAUUAAGUCAACAUGUCUGAUGCAAGUAUUAAAAUAAUUUCAAGUAAAUUGGCUAAAUACAUAAACACCAGUCGUAGUUUCCUGCACUUCGAGACUAUUACUGUUUUGAACAGAAAAUAUGCUAUCCAACUAUCAUUUGUUUUCAUAUUUAUGACUAAAAAUGUCUGUUCUGUUAUGUGUGAUUAAAUAAAACUUGUGUUUAGCCCCUGUGAUUUUUUUUUGGAGUUUCACUUGGUCCUUGCCACAAAAGGUUGAGCAGCGCUGGUGGUGUUAAUGAAUUAAAUAUUUAGAGAAGUUCAAUGCCUGAAAUAUUAACCUGUUAGUUUUAUCCACAAACAUUUUAACACGUGAAUAUUUUCAAUGAUUUGUUGUGAUUUCACUGUUUUUUUAAAAAAAAAUAACAAAUUUGGAAGAUUUCCUAUAGGACCUUUUUUCUAUUACUGCAUGACCCAUUGAUUAUUUAAUCCAUGUUGUGCUGUAAACUUUCAGACUAGCACAUGAAGCUGUGUACUGUAUGUUGCAAGCAGUAGCUUGAAUGUCUUUUUUUCCUGUAUUCAGUUGCAUUGCACAAAUAAACAUGUAUGAUUACACUGUU